GAACUCACUUUUGGCAGCACAUACAAUAAAAUUGAAAUAAUAUAGAGAAAUUAUCAUGGCCCCUGCAGGUGUAAUAUGCAUAUUAUUGAAGCAUUCCAUAUUUUA